rnacentral:lncRNA from 1 species
AGCCUUCUUUGAUAAGGCACCAAGGCUUGCAAGAACUGCUUCCUUUUCUUCUCCUACCUUCCCCCUCAGCUUUCCAUUUUUCCCUCCCCGCCCUUCCCUUUCUCCCCACUUGCCCUGUUGCCAUCCUGGAAGAAAGUCACCAAGACUCAAGAACUUCUAAAAGGAAGCUCCUUAACCUCGGGAAGUAAACAAACGACUGAGUCUCAGCAAGUCCCUGAAACCUACAAGACAAGCACCCCACCCCUACCAAGGCUAUAUGAACCCCCACCAGGACUACUGAAAGGAAGGGCUCUCCAAUCGGCAGAGCUGCCUCCAAGUCAAGCAGAGAUUACAGGACGCUGGCUUUCACGCCAUGCUGGCGUGCGUUGGUGGUGCUACAGCUGCCUUGGAGUCCUCCCUGCUCCUGUGAGCAACCCUUCACCCACGCUCGCCUCAACACACUUGCUUCACAGAUAGGACGUUGGCGGCAUCAUUACUCUGAUCUGAUGUCAGUUCCUUAUCUGGGGUCUGCACACAAGACAUCUUCAGCAGACAUCAAGUAAGAGGGCAUACAACUGAAAGAUCCUGACAGAAUGUAAAAGGUCACAGAAGCCCUGAAAUUGGCAAGAUAGAUGUCACUGUUAGCAGAACUAGCUUCACUGAUUUAGAAAAAUAGAGGCGCACAAUGCUCUGGCCACUCCUUGGACCCGUGUGUCUGCCAAUGUUUUGACCGUUCCUGGAACCCAUGUGUGUGCCCACUGAUGAAGCCCAUUGCCAGGUGUUUGUAAUAUUGGUUGCUGAGAAAGAGUCAGAAAAUCUCCCCAGCAACCACAGCCCGGCCAAUCCUGAGUUGCUACACCUGCACCAGACUCUUUCCUUGUACCCCUCCCAUACCCAUUUCUUGAGAAUAGACAUUGUUUAGAUCUGGAAAUCCCCUACUCUUCCCCUUUCUCCUUUCCCCCCGAGGGCCUAUAAAAACUGGGACCUCUUUCCCCUCGAGGUCGACUCCUCUACCCCUGUGUGGGAUAUGAGUCGUCCCCAGAGCUCUGGCUUUCCCCAAAUAAAGCCUCAUGUGGUUUACAUCAAG